rnacentral:lncRNA from 1 species
AUGGAGGAACCAGAAAAAGUUUACACACUGCCAAGCAUGCUGGAGUCAGAUGAUAUCCAUCCUGGAGAGAGGCUUGUCUUUCAGCAGCUGAGGAGUAUAGCCAGCUCCUGCAAUGCUACAGUCAGGAACAACACUCAGCCCGUGACCAGGUCUGCUGUAACAGGGCAAAGAAAGAACAGGACAGAGAUACCACUGCAGAAGAAGAGAGAGGUCUACAGAUCAGCAAGUUAUGCUUGCCGGUCCCCAUCAUUCCAGAUACACUUAUUUUCACAAAUUGCACUCUGAUACCUUUAUUUUCAAGCACAUUCAGUAAGCUCAUAGCUGAAGACUAGAGUGGGAAGACUAGAAAGGAGGUAGACUAGUUCAAAAUCCACAGUUAAAAUUAAAAAAUGAUUGUCUCACUUCAAGCCUUUCCCUCAUUGCUGUUUAUUACACAUCUUCAUGAUGUGUAAUCUAAACUGAAACUAAUUUUAAACCUUCAUUGCUACAGUGAAUUCAGGAAAGUCUCCUCAAUUGACAGCAGAGUCAGGACAAAAACUACCAAAGUAUAUGUAGUACAUGUAUUUUGAUGUGUUUAUUUGACACCUAAGAGAUUGUAUUUGAUUCAGAAUUUGGGUUUUUUGUUUUCCCUUGGCAUGACAGAAACUGUGAGUCUACCUAUCUAUAAAUAGGUCACUGGCAUACAGACAAUGCACUUACUGUUGGAAAGUACAGAACAUUUUCUGUCAAUCUCUAAAGCCUUCAACUUAUAUUGAAUGCAAGGGCUAACAAUGAUCAGCAUCUCAAAGUAUUAUUCUCCAGCUGAAAGAAUCACACUUUUUUUUUUUUUUUACACUAAAACUAUGCUACUUCCACCCAGUUAUAUCAGUAGGAAUACUUAAAUUUUGUUCCUCAAAGUUAAUCAUAUUCUUAGUUACAGACAGGGAGGUUGAGAAGUUAUUGGAAUAAAACAUUUUGACAUUCUAUUUGAAAAUAAUUG